UGGGGAAUAUUGGACAAUGGGCGCAAGCCUGAUCCAGCCAUGCCGCGUGGGUGAUGAAGGCCUUAGGGUUGUAAAGCCCUUUCGGCGGGGAAGAUAAUGACGGUACCCGCAGAAGAAGCCCCGGCUAACUUCGUGCCAGCAGCCGCGGUAAUACGAAGGGGGCUAGCGUUGCUCGGAAUUACUGGGCGUAAAGCGCACGUAGGCGGCUUGUUAAGUCGGGGGUGAAAUCCCGGAGCUCAACUCCGGAACUGCCUUCGAUACUGGCAAGGUCGGGUCCGGGAGAGGUGAGUGGAACUGCGAGUGUAGAGGUGAAAUUCGUAGAUAUUCGCAAGAACACCAGUGGCGAAGGCGGCUCACUGGCCCGGUACUGACGCUGAGGUGCGAAAGCGUGGGG
rnacentral:rRNA from 1 species